rnacentral:rRNA from 1 species
UACGUAGGGUGCGAGCGUUGUCCGGAAUUACUGGGCGUAAAGGAGUUCGUAGGCGGUUUGUCGCGUCGUUCGUGAAACUUGGGGACUUGAACUCCAAGCGUGCGGGCGAUACGGGCAGACUUGAGGUAGGCAGGGGAGAGCGGAACUCCUGGUGUAGCGGUGGAAUGCGCAGAUAUCAGGAGGAACACCGGUGGCGAAAGCGCUCAUCUGGCCCAAUACUGACGCUGAGGCGCGAAAGCUAGGGGAGCAAACGGG